UACGUAGGGUGCGAGCGUUGUCCGGAAUUACUGGGCGUAAAGAGCUCGUAGGUGGUUUGUCGCGUUGUUCGUGAAAACUCACAGCUCAACUGUGGGCGUGCGGGCGAUACGGGCAGACUAGAGUGCGGGAGAGGGGAUGUGGAAUUCCAGGUGUAGCGGUGAAAUGCGUAGAUAUCUGGAGGAACACCGGUGGCGAAGGCGGCAUCCUGGACCGGUAUUGACGCUGAGGCGCGAAAGCUAGGGGAGCAAACGGGG
rnacentral:rRNA from 1 species